GCCAGGUGGUGAAUAUUAUAUAGCCCAAUAUUUAUUUGGACAUCAUUUAAGACCCACAGUUGCACAAACAAUCCAAAAUAACAUGUGUGCCCAACAAUAUAUUCCAUUCACGACCAAAUACACAAGUUCACAAGUCACACAUCAACAUCUUUGUUACAUUCAUUGCAAACACCAAAGUAAUUGUUCAAGAAAUGACCUUAGUUACAAAGGUAUCUUAGAUAAAAUAAACAGAUGGAUAUUUCACAUCCCUGUCUCAUAAGUGACCUUUGUCACCAAACUAAUAGUCCUAACAGACAGUGCUAGCAGCUAAUUAUUCUUGGUGCCAGGAGAAAAUAACUGAAGUUGUUGAAUCUCUCCAUGUCCUGCAAAUGCACAACACAUUAGAAACCGCCAUCACUUGUUGAAAUAAAUAAAAAUAUCAAUAAAGAAUGUUACAUGUAUACUGUCGGAAGAAAUCAAGCAACAACAAUCUUUUCCACUUUAACAUAUAUUUGAGCAUUUAUUGGAAAUACACUAAUUCACACUGAACAUUCUCACACCAAGAAUAAAGUUCAAAUUGCUCUAGUCAAUACUGAAAACUUAGUACAUAUUGACACAAUCACAACUACAAAUGCAAAUACUGAAUUGCUAAAAAUUGUAAAGCAGAGGAUAGGUGAGCUGAGCUGUUGCCAACAGCCUGCCAACUGCAUCAAUGUGACUGAACAUGCAUCAGGAAACUACAUGAUGUAAUGGUGUGCUCAGUUUAGAUGCAUUUGUAACUAAAUUAUCUAAACUCUAAAUUAGCAUGCUAAGUGACAUGAUGCAGUAAAGUAUUUUCUAGGCUGCUCACUUGAUAUUCUUGUUGACAGAGAGCGAGUACCAACAGCAGCUUCAGAUUAAUAGUAGCUGAUCAUGUGCAGAGAAGCAAAUGAUAAGUUCCUAGACAGUUAUUAUUAGCCUCACAUUGCUCUACUGUCUAGCAUUUUAGUUGUUGCACAUAACAUUGACAAACACUCUGCUGUUAUCACAGAGCCACUACUGAACAUAUUUUUCGAUACUAAAAACAACUUUGCUAUUUAUGCAUGAAACAAUAUUUUAGAGUGAAGUUUCCUAUAUGCUCUAAAAUAAAAGUCAGGGGUUGUCAUAAGUUAACAACCUAGAGCUGUUGUGAGGAAAGCUCUUAAUUUUUCUCAGACCAUCUCAUGUAAAUCCUUGCAUUAAUCUUUAUAUACUCCUAAUCUUAUUUCUUUUUGAAAUACUAUUAACACUCUCGCUAGGAAGUAGUUGAACAAAUAUUACAAUCUGCAUAAUCUUAGUAUAAUCUGUUUCAAGCCACAUUAAUGACCAUGACAAUAAUAUGAUUGAUGACCAUAAUAAUUUGCAUUGUUAUACAAAGUAAAAGGCAGGAAUUAGAAAGAAGCACAAACCUAUAAGUUUUUCAACUAAGGUCUUCAUUAGCAUUCUUCUCAGCAAUACUACUUCAUCCAAGCAAAACUGCCUUUAGAAACAAAGUGCACAACAACAUAUUUUUAAAACCAAAUAUGCUAAGGUAGGAAAUGAUGUAGGGCGAGCACUGACAUGCAGUAGUGCAGAAUAUUUAGAUGUCUAAAUCGCAUAUGAGAUUUCAGAAAAAAAAAACUAACAGGAAGGAAAGAAAGCAAACAAUUACACUGCACUUAGUGUGUAAAAAUCUGAACAGACAGAAUAAAAUGCACUAGUACAAAUGAUUAGUUCCAUAAGAAAUGCACACCGAAGGAAAUAACUGGUUAGUGGUUACCUAAGGCCUAAUAAGAAAUAAAAAUUAAACAUUACAUAACUGGUUAGCCAAAUUAAUAGAGGCCAGUAGCAGGAUUAUUAGGAUUGUGUAUGUUAUGCUCUACGCCAGACAAAUGAGGGAUUAUGAGGGCAGUACGAAGCACUCCCACACCUGCUUACAAGGAGCAUGCUCUUCUGGAUAGAUCUAGCAAUGUGCAGCCAAUAGGAAUCGAGGUAGCCAGCCAAUAAGAACAAAUAAAAAUAUUGGGCCGAUCAUUCAAAUCAUCUGCUCUCUUGAUGGAAUCUACCUGCAAGAAGAAGAUACACGGACUGAUUUCUGUUGGGAAAAGAAGGGCAAGCAAACAAGAACGAGCACCACUCCUCAACGCCCAUGUCAUGCAGAUCCAGAAGCUUCAUCCUAGAGAGAGACGGAGUGAUUUGGUAAGAAGAGUGGCUUACUGCUGUGAGUACCAGCGACGGCGCCACGGUCCUGGUGCAUCGAGAAGCGAGAGACGCGAUUUUCACGGCGGCGGCGGCGGCCGUCCAAGGAGUAGGGAAUGGGGGACGCUCGUGGCUGGGAUUAAGCCAUCGACGGCGGAAGGUGCCGACACUCGGCGGUGAGGAACGAACGACGACCGGCGAUUUUGCGAGGAUGGAGGUAGGUGGAGACGAACGGAUUUGGGCCUUGUUUACUUCCAAUCCAAAACGCAAAAUUUUUCAAAAUUCCCCGUCACAUUAAAUCUUUAGACACAUGUAUGGAGUAUUAAAUAUAGGUGAAAAUAAAAAACUAAUUAUACAGUUUGGUCGAAAUUUACUAGACAAAUCUUUUGAGCCUAGUUAAUCUAUGUUUAGAUAAUAUUUGUCACAUACAAACAAAAAAGUUACUGUAGCAAUUUUGCAAAAAAAUUGCCAAGUAAACAAGGCCUUGGGGGAAAACGAGAGAAGUCACGGCUCUCAGGAGGAGGAGAGGAUAAGGUUGCCGAAAAUUUUUUACCUCGCGCGCUUCGCACCUGAGGAGUCCGCGCUUUUAUUUUUGGC
rnacentral:lncRNA from 1 species